ACACACCUGAAAGAAACUAGUGGUGAGUUCUUUCCUUAUAAUAAUGUGACAUAAAAGACCUACCUGUGUGUUAUUUUUCUUUGUCUUCAGGUGACAAGUCUAAAGAAAUCCUGGAAACUGAUCCUUGGAGGUUUUUCCACAUGAGGCAGAACCCUGGAAAAUCAUGGUUCUGACUCAGAUAGACAUUCAUCAACAGCAGAGGUUAUCCACUUCUGAAAGCCUCCAACGUGUACAAGGGACAAGGAACCAGGGACAGAGAGAGGCAGGAUUAAUGUGCCCUGUCAUAAGGGGUGGCAUCCCAUCAGCCCCAGCCAGCAGACUUCUUCAUGGGAUUGGUAGACCCAAAUAUCUGGUGGACUGCAGUUCCUCACCCCCGAUUUAAUGCAAUAUUAAGGAGUGUCUGGCUUCAAACUGAAAUCAAGAUAGAUGGAUUGAUUGCAAAACUUCAGCAUCAGCUGCUGUCACUCUCUCGGCAAUCCACUCCACUCUAAUUUCCCAAUCCGUUUGGAAGAUGGACCAAAGAACUGCAGGAAACACACACACACUCUCACACACUCUGCCUGUGCUUAAUAAGCUGCAGGAAGCUGGAGCGCUCUAACAAAAUAGCAGCCACAAUACAGUAUUCUGAAGAAAGCCACUGCUGAGUGUGAAAACACCGGAAAUCUUUUCAUACCAUUAAUACAUUUGCACCAUCUUAAAGAAAGGCACUGGUUUUUGAGCAUUUCAGAAUUUUCAUUUUCCACUUUUGGCAUUCACUUUGCCCCUUGCACAUCCAUGUCCUUCAUUUCACCCCUGCUCCCAUGAUAAUACAAUCGUCUGUUUUUGUUUUUGUGUCAACUGCUUGUCAUAUUGCUAUUGAU
rnacentral:lncRNA from 1 species